UACGUAGGGUGCAAGCGUUGUCCGGAAUUAUUGGGCGUAAAGAGCUCGUAGGCGGUUUGUCGCGUCGGCUGUGAAAAACCCGCAGCUCAACUGUGGGCUUGCAGCUGAUACGGGCAGGCUUGAGUUCGGUAGGGGAGACUGGAAUUCCUGGUGUAGCGGUGAAAUGCGCAGAUAUCAGGAGGAACACCGGUGGCGAAGGCGGGUCUCUGGGCCGAUACUGACGCUGAGGAGCGAAAGCGUGGGGAGCGAACAGG
rnacentral:rRNA from 1 species